rnacentral:misc_RNA from 1 species
GAUGAAGAACGCAGCGAAAUGCGAUAAGUAAUGUGAAUUGCAGAAUUCAGUGAAUCAUCGAAUCUUUGAACGCACAUUGCGCCCGCCAGUAUUCUGGCGGGCAUGCCUGUUCGAGCGUCAUUACAACCCUCAGGCCCCCGGGCCUGGCGUUGGGGAUCGGCGGAAGCCCCCUGUGGGCACAUGCCGUCCCUCAAAUACAGUGGCGGUCCCGCCGCAGCUUCCAUUGCGUAGUAGCUAACACCUCGCAACUGGAGAGCGGCGCGGCCAUGCCGUAAAACACCCAACUUCUGAAUGUUGACCUCGAAUCAGGUAGGAAUACCCGCUGAACUUAAGCAUAUCAAUAAGCGGAGGA